GUCGGGAAUUUUGCGCAAUGGGCGAAAGCCUGACGCAGCAACGCCGCGUGAGGGAUGAAGGCCUUCGGGUUGUAAACCUCUUUUCUCAGGGACGAUAAUGACGGUACCUGAGGAAUAAGCCACGGCUAACUACGUGCCAGCAGCCGCGGUAAUACGUAGGUGGCGAGCGUUGUCCGGAUUUACUGGGCGUAAAGAGCGCGCAGGCGGUCGUACAAGUCGCGUGUGAAAGCCCCCGGCUCAACUGGGGAGGGUCACGCGAUACUGUUCGACUUGAAGGCAGGAGAGGGAAGCGGAAUUCCCGGUGUAGUGGUGAAAUGCGUAGAUAUCGGGAGGAACACCAGUGGCGAAGGCGGCUUCCUGGCCUGUUCUUGACGCUGAGGCGCGAAAGCUAGGGGAGCAAACGGGAUUAGAAACCCCUGUAGUCC
rnacentral:rRNA from 1 species